UACGUAGGGGGCAAGCGUUGUCCGGAUUUAUUGGGCGUAAAGAGCGUGUAGGCGGCCAGGUAGGUCAGCUGUGAAAACUCGAGGCUCAACCUCGAGACGCCGGUUGAAACCAUCUGGCUAGAGUCCGGAAGAGGAGAGUGGAAUUCCUGGUGUAGCGGUGAAAUGCGCAGAUAUUGGGAGGAACACCAAUGGCGAAGGCAGCUCGCUGGGACGGUAUUGACGCUGAGACGCGAAAGCGUGGGGAGCAAACAGG
rnacentral:rRNA from 1 species